rnacentral:rRNA from 1 species
UACGUAGGGUGCAAGCGUUGUCCGGAAUUAUUGGGCGUAAAGAGCUCGUAGGCGGUUCGUCGCGUCGGCUGUGAAAACCCGGAGCUCAACUCCGGGCCUGCAGUCGAUACGGGCGGACUAGAGUUCGGCAGGGGAGACUGGAAUUCCUGGUGUAGCGGUGAAAUGCGCAGAUAUCAGGAGGAACACCGGUGGCGAAGGCGGGUCUCUGGGCCGUACCUGACGCUGAGGCGCGAAGGCUAGGGGAGCGAACGGG